UACGUAGGGGGCAAGCGUUGUCCGGAUUCAUUGGGCGUAAAGAGCGUGUAGGCGGCCAGGCAGGUCCGCUGUGAAAACUCGAGGCUCAACCUCGAGAUGUCGGUGGAAACCGUCUGGCUAGAGUCCGGAAGAGGAGAGUGGAAUUCCCGGUGUAGCGGUGAAAUGCGCAGAUAUCAGGAGGAACACCGGUGGCGAAGGCGGGUCUCUGGGCCGAUACUGACGCUGAGGAGCGAAAGCGUGGGGAGCGAACAGG
rnacentral:rRNA from 1 species